rnacentral:lncRNA from 1 species
GGCAUAUGGAGGUUCCCAGGUUAGGGGUUGAAUCGGAGCUGUAGCCACCGGCCUACACCAGAGCCACAGCAACGCAGGAUCCGAGCCUCGUCUGCAACCUACACCACAGCUCACGCAACGCCAGAUCCUUAACCCACUGAGCAAGCACAGGGAUCGAACCCGCAACCUCAUGGUUCCUAGUCGGAUUCGUUAACCACUGCGCCACGACGGGAACUCCCUUGAAUUCUUAUGGUUGAACUAGAGAGAAUAAUAGAAAAAGAAACAAAUAUUAAUUUAUAUGCAUGGCAGUCUCAUAGAAAUGAGACCUAAGAAAUAGCCAAAGCUGGCAGCCUUUAUACUUUUUAGACAAAGAGAAAAAAACUUGUGAAGAAUUGACAGAACAAAGAAACAGGUUUUGAGUAUUCAAUCAGUAAAAAUCUAAACAGAGUUUGGGCUUGGGGUAGUAAAUUAAAGAGAUAACAAGGUUUGUCUAUAUGGGCUUGGCCUGAAUUCGCUAUCUCUGGGAAUAAGGGUAUUUUUCUGCUUUCAGAUGCAAGGACUGUACUUCUCACACAUGAGAAUUCUUCCUUUCGGGAAGAUAGAAAGGAGGGUCAGAGUGUCUUCUUGCAUUGACUAUUUCUUAAGUAACCCUAAUUCAAAAUAAUUAAUAUGCUACCAAGGCACAUUUGGGGGUGUGUGUUGGGGGGAGCUUGCACUGAACUGCAACAGAUGGAAUCCCUGAAAGGCAGAGAAGUAAACUGAAGUCAGGGAAUGUUUGAAAAAAUAAUGUAGAAUAUGAAGAAUUGAAUGAAAACUGAUGAGCACGUAUAGAAAAGGGAUUGGGAAAGUAGUCUGUAGUGGGUUGAAUAGUACUUCCCCUAAAUGGAACCUCAAAAUUUAACUUUACUGGGAAAUAGGAUCUUUGAAUAUAAUUAGUUAAGAUGAGCUUAUACUAGGUUAGAGGGGGUCCUAAUCCUAAUGUUAGGAGUUCCCAUCAUGGCCAAGUGGUUAAUGCACCUGACUAGUAUCCAUGAGAAUGCGGCUUUGACCCCUGGCCUUGCUCAGUGAGUUAAGGAUCCAGUGUUCCUGUGAGCUGUGGUGUAGGUUGCAGACACGUCUUGGAUCCAAUGUUGGUGUGGCUAUGAUGUAAGCCAAUGGCUACAGCACUGAUUGGAACCAUAGCCUGGGAACCUCCAUAUGCCGCGAGUGUGGCCCUAAAAAGACCAAAGACGCGCGCGCGCGCGCACACACACACACACACACACACACACACACACACACAAAGAGAGGCAGAGAUUAGAGCGCUGUGUCUACAAGGCAAGGAUUGUUGACAACCACCAGAAGCCAAGAGGAGGCAAGGAAGAAUUCUAUCCUGGAAUCUUUAGAGGCCCUUCCAACACCUUGAUUUCUCAUCUCUAGAACUAUGAGAAAAUGUCUUUUUAAGCCACCCAGUUUGUGAUAAUUUGUUAUUAUAGCCUUCAGAAACCAGUAUAUAGCCAUAAACUUAGACUUGUUAACAAAACUCUAACAACUUGAAAUAAAAACUACAUCAUCCUCCAGUGAAGAAGAAUCUGAUUGUCAUUUUACUUUUCUCCCUAGCAAUACUGACAGCUGUGGGAUAAUUUUUUUUCCAGUGUUGAAACAAGCAAACUUGAAGCUUAGGAUUUUAUUUCUGGUUAUUUUAAUUGAGUGGGAGGAUAAAAUAAAGAUACCAUUCUGAAUAAUAUCUCAGUUUGCCACAUAAUGACCCUCUUUGAAUGUAAUUUUAGAGAAUGUAGUCUAGCAAAAAAAGAAAAGAAAAAUGGAAAAAUAAAUCCAGAAGGAAAAAAAUGUGGAAAAUAAGAACAAAUGGGGGAAUUUAUUGAUUUAAAAAAAUUUAUUGGAAUAUAGUUGACUUACAAUGUUCUAUUAGUUUCAAAUCUACAGGGAAGUGCAUCAGUUAUACAUAUAUCCAUUCCUUUUUCCCAUAUAGGUUAUUAGAGUAUAUUAAGUAGAUUUCCCUAUGCUAUAUAGUAGGUCCUUGUUAGUUGUCUAUUAUAUACAGUAUUGUGUAUCUGUUAAUCCCAUCUCCCAAUUUAUUCCUCCUCUCCACUGUUCCCCCUUUGGUAAUCCUAAAUUUGAUAACAGAAAUCUGUGAGUUUGUUUCUGUUUUAUAAAUAAGUUCUUCUGUAUCAUUUUUUAUUAGAUUGUACCUAUAAAUGAUAUCAAAUGAUAUUUGUCUUUCUCUUUUUGACUUUGCUCAGUAGAAUAAUCUCUAGAUUCACCCAUGUUUCUGUAAAUGCCUUUAUUUCAUUCCUGUAAAUGACUGAGUAAUAUUCCAUUGUAUAUAUCUUCUUUAUCCAUUCCCCUGUUGAUGGACAUUUAAGUUGCUUCCAUGUCUUGGCUAUUGUAAAUAGUGCUGCAAUGAACACUGGGGUGCAUGUAUCUUUUUGAAUUAUGGUUUUCUUUGGAUAAAUUCCCAGGAGUAGUAUUGCUGGACCAUGUGGUAGUUUUAUAUAUUUAGUUUUCAGAGGAACCUCCAUAAUGUUCUCCAUAGUGGUUGCACAAAUCUUACAUUUCCAUCAACAGUGUAGGAGGGUUCCCUUUCUGCACACACUCUCAAACAUUUAUUCUUGGUUGAUUUUGUGAUGAUGACCAUUCUGAUUGGUAUGAGAUGCUACCUCAUAAUAGUUUUGAUUUGCAUUUUUCUAAUAGUGAUAUUGAACAUCUUUUCAUGUGCUUUGUUAUGUAAUAGGAAAAUUGUCCACUAAAAACAAUUUGAAAUGCUAUAUAAGUAUACAAACAUUCACUCAAAAGCAUAGUUGAGCUUGGAGAGAAAAAAAAAAAAGGUGAGUUAAAUCAAAGAGGGAUCUAAGAUUCACGCAAUAAAAGAGUGCUAAGCCUAUUGCUUCCUGAUGGGGACUGUCCGUAGACCUUUGUGAAUAAGAUAAAUGAAAAAUAGGAUUGCUGAAAUAAACAGUGGUCAGAAACCAAAACCAGCAUAUCAAUAACAGUUUGAAAUUAUAAUACUGUAUUUCCAAACAUUAGAAUUUGAAUAAGGGGAUGAUGGGGGAUGAGAUCUAAAAGAGAUCCAAGGUUGCAGUGUAUGCUAAGGAUAGAGAGAUUGAUCUGCUUUUAGAUAUUGAUGGGGAAAUUGAGCAUUAGUGUGGAUUAUACAAAGAAUAAUCACUACUGAAGAAAAUAAAAUGCAUAAUUUUUAUACCAUAGGAUAAAACUUAAUGUAGACGUUGGAAGAAAGGGAAAAGAAAAAAGGGAAACAAAAAGAUGGUAUAGUAUGG